rnacentral:misc_RNA from 1 species
GAUGAAGAACGUAGCGAAAUGCGAUAAGUAAUGUGAAUUGCAGAAUUCAGUGAAUCAUCGAAUCUUUGAACGCACAUUGCGCCCCUUGGUAUUCCGAGGGGCAUGCCUAUUCGAGCGUCAUUAUCACCCCUCAAGCCUAGCUUGGUGUUGAGACCUGCUGUCAAGGCAGUCUCUAAAAUCAGUGGCAGUGCUGUCAGGCUCUAAGCGUAGUAAAUCUAAUCGCUAUAGACACCUGGUGGACACUCGCCAGAACCCCCCCAUUUUUUAAUGAUUGACCUCGGGUUAGGUAGGGAUACCCGCUGAACUUAAGCAUAUCAAUAAGCGGAGGA